GUGCUUGCCUUGGGAGCACACAUGCUAAAACUGGAACAAUCCAGAGAUUAGUAUGGCCCCUGAGCAAGAAUGACAUGAAAAUUCAUGAAGUGUUCCAUAUUCUU